AUUGAACGCUGGCGGCAUGCCUUACACAUGCAAGUCGAACGGUAACAGGUUAAGCUGACGAGUGGCGAACGGGUGAGUAAUGUAUCGGAACGUGCCCAGUCGUGGGGGAUAACUGCUCGAAAGAGCAGCUAAUACCGCAUACGACCUGAGGGUGAAAGCGGGGGAUCGCAAGACCUCGCGCGAUUGGAGCGGCCGAUAUCAGAUUAGGUAGUUGGUGAGGUAAAGGCUCACCAAGCCGACGAUCUGUAGCUGGUCUGAGAGGACGACCAGCCACACUGGGACUGAGACACGGCCCAGACUCCUACGGGAGGCAGCAGUGGGGAAUUUUGGACAAUGGGCGCAAGCCUGAUCCAGCCAUGCCGUGUGCGGGAAGAAGGCCUUCGGGUUGUAAACCGCUUUUGUCAGGGAAGAAAAGGUUCUGGCUAAUACCUGGGACUCAUGACGGUACCUGAAGAAUAAGCACCGGCUAACUACGUG
rnacentral:rRNA from 1 species